GAGCUAUUGCCUAGUUAAUUAAAGAAGAGGUGGACUUGCUCUAAACAAUAUUUAUCUGAAUUCGAGACAUGGUAAAUUUAAAGAAGAAAAAAAAAAAAACUCUAAUUAGUUGGGACUCACUCAUUUCAUGAUCGAACGCAUUUACGUAGCCUAAUUAGGUAAAAGUUGGUACUUAUUCUUUGGUCAUACUGACACAAAAGUGAUUAAUACGUUCUCAAGAAAAAUUACGACGAGAGCUGAAUAUUCUAAUUUCACAAAUGGGAAUGAUUGAAAAAACAGGAAUCUGACUUGUCAGUGCCAUGUGUACACAGAGUGAUGAAGACCAAACAUGUGAGGUGUGAACCUGCACAGUCAAAUAAUCCAAUAAAAAAAAGUGAUAUACGCGUUCCUGGCCCACCAAUCAUGGCCUGUCUGUAGGACUACUCCAAAUUAAAGAAACAUUCCCACCAAUACCGGCUAUUCACUAGCUACAAAGGAUUUUUAUUUUUAAUGUUAAUAUAUUAAGGAAAAAAAGAGGAUUCAAAAUGAUUAUAUAAUUUAGAUGAAGGAGAGUUUUGAGUCCAGAUCGUAUAAAUAGAAACUCAACUUUCUAUACAUUAGGAUAUUAGACAAUAUGUAAUAAAUGAUUUAUUUAUAUGAGUAAUGCUAGUUAAAUCAACUUUUUAAGAGAAAUGCUAAGGAACUCAUUCAAAACUGAGACUCUCAUUGGACUCUCCACCAUCUUAUAUUUUUGGCACAAUGAUUUAUAACGAUGUCACAAGAAUUGACGUUAACUUUGAGGUGACAAAGAGUUUAUGGAUAGUCUCACUUUUGAGAGAGUCACCUUAGCAUUUCUCACUUUUUAGACCAAAUUUGUAAAUUAUGUGAUGUGUCAUCAAUAAGAAAUAAGCAUGUUAAUCAACAAUUAAGUAAUAAUUCAAUAAUUAAUAAUCAUGUCAUAUGUUUUAUAAAAUAUGGUUUAAAUAGAUGGUCUUCCUCAUAUUACUCCAUUCCAUAUAUAAUCAUUCAAUUUUUAAACAAACUAUAUUAGGUUUAGAUCCUUUUAUUAUUAUUUCAAUGUAAAGAACAAAAUUAUUGCCCACACAUCAUUAUACCAAAUUACUACCUUUAGAAGAUGGGAAAUGAUUAGUGCAUAUCCUUUAGAAAAUGACAGUCCCAUAAUUUUUUUCUUUUUUACACACAUCAAAUCAAAUAAAACAAAUAAAAAUGUAGAACAUAACUAAACAAAAAUGUAAGGAAAAAAAAAAAAAUAGUGUGCGGUUAUCAUUUUUCCUAACUACUUACUACUUCUGUACACUCUUAUUUGUUUUUAUCACUUAAUUGACUACAAGAGAAAUGCUAAAAAGACUAUCUUAAAAUAUGACUCUUUAUUGACUCUUCGACACCUCAUAUUUUUAGUACAACGUUACAAAUCAACAAAAGCAUGUGCAAAUUAUAAAAUAAUGAUAUACAUGUGUUGGGGAGUGCAUUCAUGGACCGUUGGGAUCAACAAAAUUCGUAAUUACAACUAUUGGCACUUUUGGGCUGGCUUUGGGAGUAUUUUAUGCUGCAAUAACAAGGUAUUCACCGUAUGUUGCACACUGUUUGAGUUUUUGAUACAAAAACAGUUAAGAUGAACAGUGAGAGAUGCCUUCAAAAUUGUAGAGAAAAUGAGAUCCAAAUUUUGAUGUUCAAGCGUUUGUUGGAGAUGAUGUUAGGUCGUAACCCUCUCUUUAGAGCAUUUACAGUGGAGAUACGCGAAUUUAAGAUGUAAAAAUCAUAUUUACAUCUCAUUUUGCAUCUACAGAAAAUUUGAACGUGAAUUUUACUUUUGUGGAAAGAGGAGAUGCAAAACUUAGGAUCACAUUUAAUUUUCUCUACUUACGGAGUCCAGUUCUAAUUUAGAAUCCAUUUACAUUUUUAUUAACAUUUUUUUGACAAAGAUAGAUAUUUUACAUCAUUUAUUUGGAGAAAUUUUGGGUCAACAAAAAAAUAUCGAAUGCUGAUUUCAAG
rnacentral:lncRNA from 1 species